UUAAAUAUUUAGUUUAAGGGGGGUGUUUGGUAAAUAGUUGUUGGCUGAUAACUGUUAGCUAAUUGGGUUAGUCGGUUUCAUUAGUUGAUAGUAUUGACUGAUUGUAUAAAGGUGUUUGGUAAAUUAGAUGUUAAUUAGCUGAUAGAUGCAAAAUGACUUUCUCAAAAAGCUAAU